UGUGAUUUGGUUCAGUGGUUUUGUUGUUUACUCCAUAAAAAAACACACAUUUCAUAUACUUGCAUUUUCUUGCCAAGGUUUGUUCAGAAUGAAUGAUCUUUCCUCAGACACUGAAAGAAUGUGACUUGCCCAAGGUCACCUAGUGGGUUUCCAUGGUUGAGUGGGCAUUUGAACCCUUGUCUUUGACAUUGCCAUCAAGACUUGAAGUCCAACACUCAAACAAUUGCAGGCAGUCCCUAAGUGAUGGACAAGAUAGAUUUAUUCGGUAGAUAUCUUUUAAAGUUGAAUUUGUAUGUAAGUCGAAACAGGUACAUUUUCUAAGUUUCUUAACACUUUUAAAACAGUUCCCUGAUGAAGCACCAUGGACGACAGGUGGAAGUCUGUCUGUGUUGUUUGAUGGUGUGGAGAUCACCGCUGCCACCAAGUUGUGGAGAUGUCAGGCAGAGAGGAAUUUUUUUUCUCUUAUGCUUUUAUUCUUUCUUAUUCUUUUUCAUAUUAGAUGGUAGCGUUACUUAGUUUUGAAUAUAGGUGACAGAGACUUGGAUAUUGAAGAACAAAAACAAAUUUAUUUCGGGCACAGAGCUUAGUGGUUACAGUAACUUCUUUAAAGGCACUUAGAUAAUGGUUGCUAAGUUAUUAACUGAUCACUUUGGAUCUAACUGGGAUUGCUUUCCCUUCCUACUCAGACUCUACAAAUAAACCUAAACAAGUCACCUAACUUGCUUAAUUUAACACCACUAGAGAUCUGAGUUCCCCUGGUUUCCCUAACCUGGAACCAGUGUCUUCCCUGUGACUAAAAUCACAGACUAAACUAAAAAUAAGUCACCACUUAUUUUCAAAUUGACUCAAAAUGACCAAUCAUUUGAGCCACCCUGAUCCUCAACCAGAAUCAGUCUCUCGGUACCACAUAAGGGCACCGACUCUAAAACUAACCUUCCCUGUGGUUUACUGACCACAGACUAAACUGUUUUUUUUAAAACAUUCCCUCCUUUUUCUUCAAACGGCGGUUGGCUCCGCCCUCGUUACUAUGGCAACCUGCCUCAGAAUGCUGAGCUGGUUACCAUUCCCCACGCACUGGUGACUAAUACUUACCCUUUUAAACCUAGUUAAACCUGACUUCCAAAACGAAAUUAAACAUGACAUCUAUAAAUCAAAUAAAAACACACUUCUUUACAGAUGGGUUCUGUUUUGUUUAGUUAGGGAACUACUGUAUUUCAGAAAUGUUAAGAAAUGGAGGCGGGAUUGCAUGUGAUGAGGUUCUUAGUUUCAUAAUCAAACAGCUCGGUCCCAAACUCAGAACUCACCAAUUCUGAACUGAAAUGGAGAUUAACAUGUGCUUUUAUUUCUAGCAGGUUCUUUCAGCACAUUUUUUAAGGCUGGCAUAAUGGUAGCCUGCAGUAUUUAUGGUGGUUCUGUUUAUAGAAACGGCCCCUGAACACUCCCUUUGGCAGAUGCCCUUUGAAAUUGUCACCAUUUGGACUCCUGUUGGAUGAGAUCCCUGGCACAGCGGUCUCUGCUCCUUGUGCUUUUUUGUGUGUGGCGUGUGAGGCAGCAAUGACUGUUGAUUGCAGGCUUUCAGAGGUUGAGAAUUUAUGUUGGAGGUUUAUCUUCAUACGGCACAUACCCACAACCGAUUCACACCAGUUUUGUGAAAGAAGCAGGAAACAAUGGCCCAGGAUUCCACUCCCAAAGAGAUGGGCCAGUGCUGUUGCCGUUCCAAAUGGGUUUCUCUUCCAUCCCUUUUCUCUCUCCCCCUCCCUGCUGUUGGGAAUUGUGGGAGUUGCAGUCCAAAACACCACCAGAACCUCUGCUGCUGCCGUUCCAAAUGGGUUUCCCUGUGAUGACUCAUGGGCCAUGUAGUCCCGUUCCUAGCGCUGUUGAGACAGAUGAAGAGGAAAACUUGUUUUUUCCACCGUUUCAGCCAGAAUUGAAACUUUCCCAGCCAGAAUUGGAGCCCUUGCACCUGCAGGAGGUUUGCCUUCCAGAAAUCUGCCAAACAAGCCCUGAGUCAGAAUCUCCCCCAUUUUCUCGCCGUAGUUAUUAUCAACAACAAAAAGGAGUUCAACAGGCUAAUCGCAGAAGCCUGAGAAUCGCAGCCAGGCAUUCAGCUGAUUAAGACUGCUUUCAUGAGAACCUUUAGGGAGUCAUGCAUCUGGACACAGAGAUUGACUUUCGGUUCUGGUUCCCCAGAGAAGUGAUCUUUGGUGGGAAAACGAGACCCUAUUUAGGUUCCUUGCCCCGUAGGAAUCUUGCGGAGUCAAUUCGUCAGCAACUGGAGUAGGUUGUGUGUGGACAGCGCUACUCCCGCUUCCAAGCCUUCGUUCCAGUUUCCAAGCCUUCGUUCCCGUUUCCAGCCUUGUUUUGCUCCACGGACCUUGCCUUGCUUCCUAGGACUCAGCCUUGCUUUCCAGGACCUUGCCAAGUAUUUACCACGGAUUUUGUCCCUGUUCCUCGUUCCUUGUUGCCUUGAAUCAGGCUUUGUGUACCAAGAAUCAAGCUAUUUCCUCGCCUUGCCUAAGUUUCAUGGACUAAAGGACCUUGUCAUCUCCCCUCACUUUGCUUGGCAAAGUGAGUGUUUCGGUUACUGGAUUACAACUUUGGACCUUACUAUUUCAUAUUGGACAUUGUUUUCCUGGACUAUAUUUGACCUUUCCUGAAAGGUCAUCUUCUGAACUAUAUUCUACACUUAUUUUUAUUGCCUUUACUUAUUUCCUUAAUAAAGAUAUUAGAUAGAUUCUGGCCUCUGUGUAUGGUUAUUGGUGCUCUGCAGCCUGGGUC